rnacentral:rRNA from 1 species
CCUACGGGUGGCAGCAGUGAGGAAUAUUGGUCAAUGGACGAGAGUCUGAACCAGCCAAGUAGCGUGAAGGAUGAAGGCCCUAUGGGUUGUAAACUUCUUUUAUAAAGGAAUAAAACGAGGCACGUGUGCCUUUUUGCAUGUACUUUAUGAAUAAGGAUCGGCUAACUCCGUGCCAGCAGCCGCGGUAAUACGGAGGAUGCGAGCGUUAUCCGGAUUUAUUGGGUUUAAAGGGAGCGUAGAUGGGUUGUUAAGUCAGUUGUGAAAGUUUGUGGCUCAACCGUAAAAUUGCAAUUGAUACUGGAAGACUUGAGUACAGUUGAGGUAGGCGGAAUUCGUGGUGUAGCGGUGAAAUGCUUAGAUAUCACGAAGAACCCCGAUUGCGAAGGCAGCUUACUAAGCUGUGACUGACAUUGAUGCACGAAAGUGUGGGGAUCAAACAGGAUUAGAUACCCCUGUAGUC